GGGGUUUAAGUAAGGCAAAUGAGGUGUCAGAGUAUAAUUAGUUGAUGAUGAGGGUUCACAAGUGAGCUUUGACUCCUCGUCCCACUAACCGAAAAAUGGAUGUUCAAAUAGACUUGUAUAUUGUUAUAAUUUUUAAAAUAUUGAAAGGCGUUCACUUAGGUUUUUUUUGGUAAUAGUUACUAUAGAUAUUCAAGUAUUAUAGUGUGAAAUUAUAUACUUGAUCAUAUAUGUAUGAAAAUAAUAGAUAGCAUACAAACAAAUUUACUAAUAAACAUGCCCCAUGAUCUUUAUGUAACGGCAUGUUGUCUUUUUUUACCCUUGUGUAGGUCUCUAAUCCCUAUAUAUCAAAACAAAGCUAAAUAAAUUUGUAGACGUCAACGUAUCUAGUUUGUUUACACUGUCUCUUUAUUUCUACUAAUUAGUAAAAAUCAUAAUAGGAUAAUUAUGUAUUACUCUUUUUGGGGAGAAAGUCUUUACUAUAGUUACUUUUUGCAAUGAAUAAAUAAAUAGAAGUAUAUAUAAGUCAUUUUAGUUCAAAAAUAUCUUUAAAAGAAAAAGAAAAAGAAAACAGAUUAAAGGUUUUUUUAAGUGUAUUUUAGUACAUGUGAAUGCAGUUAAUAGAGCUGGACAUGAAUUGGAAGUAAAAGAAAAUGACUAGUGAGAGAGAGAGAAAGAGAGCAUAAAAGUGGCUUUUGAUUUUAAACUUGAUCUAGGAGUAUGGAAGAAUGAGAAAUGGAAGCUUUUAUUGCUCCCUUUAAACAUCACUAACCUAUCAAACAAUUAAUUCUGUUAAAAAUAAAAAUAAAACAAUUAAUAUACCUGAUUUACAACUUUUCAAUUAAGAACGAGAUCCAGAAGUAAUCAAUAAUUCUAACGUUUGAAGUGAAUUUCGCGCAAAAUGCUAAAAAGCGAUCAUAUUUAAAAGAGAACUCAUGCAGAAAAUAACUAGUAAUUAUAAAGUUCAUAUGCAAGAGAUUGUGGUGGCACCAAAACUUUAAAUUAUCUCCCCUGUCUUGUUAUGAGAAGUAAAUUACUAUUUAAAUACUUACAAUAUGUAAAAUGUUGGUAAAAGUAGCAUAUAUAGCAAAUGAAGGAAAAACGCAGCAUAAAAA
rnacentral:lncRNA from 1 species